rnacentral:rRNA from 1 species
ACGCUGGCGGCACGCCUAACACAUGCAAGUCGAACGCAGUAGCAAUACUGAGUGGCAAACGGGUGAGUAUAAUGUGGGAAUCUGCCUUUUGGUUUGGAAUAACACGGGGAAACUUGUGCUAAUACCGAAUAAGCCUUUACAGGGAAAGUUUUAAUGCCAAAAGAUGAGCCCGCACUUGAUUAGCUAGUUGGUAAGGUAAAAGCUUACCAAGGCAAUGAUCAAUAGCUGUUCUUAGAGGAAGACCAGCCACAUUGGGACUGAGACACGGCCCAGACUCCUACGGGAGGCAGCAGUGGGGAAUCUUGCACAAUGGGGGAAACCCUGAUGCAGCGAUGCCGCGUGAGUGAAGAAGGCCUUUGGGUUGUAAAACUCUUUCGUCGGGGAAGAAAAUGACUGUACCCGAAUAAGAAGGUCCGGCUAACUUCGUGCCAGCAGCCGCGGUAAUACGAAGGGACCUAGCGUAGUUCGGAAUUACUGGGCUUAAAGAGCUCGUAGGUGGUUAAAAAAGUUGAUGGUGAAAUCCCAAGGCUCAACCUUGGAACUGCCAUCAAAACUUUUUAGCUAGAGUGUGAUAGAGGUAAGUGGAAUUUCUAGUGUAGAGGUGAAAUUCGUAGAUAUUAGAAAGAACACCAAAUGCGAAGGCAACUUACUGGGUCACUACUGACACUGAGGAGCGAAAGCAUGGGUAGCGAAGAGGAUUAGAUACCCUCGUAGUCCAUGCCGUAAACGAUGUGUGCUAGACGUUGGAAAUAUAUUUUUCAGUGUCGCAGCGAAAGCAUUAAGCACACCGCCUGGGGAGUACGACC